GGGGGGGUCUGGCUGUGCGGAAUCAGGCGGGGGCGGGAGCUGCCGCGGGCAGUUUGCAGCAAUCCCCCCCCCUUUCGCCUUGCAGAGGAGCAGGUGUCUCCUGCGCGCCCGGUGCCCCCGCCGAAGCGCAGCCCCGGCCCCCCCGGCCCCCGGGAAGCGAAGCGCAGCGCCGCGCCAGGAGAGGUGCUCGCAGGUCGGAGGGGACCCGCCAUGGGCUGCUCCGGCCCGGCCGCCUCCUGCCUCCUGCUGCUGCUGGGCUCGGCGCCCCUGCUGCGAGGGCUGCCGCUGAAGGAUGUGUCGCCCGUGACCCUCUCCCCACAGCUGGAGGUCUCCUCGCUGGGGGGCCAGGCCAGUGGCUCAGCCCUGGGGGGCUCCGUGCCUCCCCCUGGGGUCCCUGAGGGUCUGUCUGAGCUGCUGCAGGGCGUCCUGCUGAAGAAGGAGUUUCUGGGGCAGGCCGAGUCUCUCCCUGGCAGCCCCUCGGCCCCGCGACCCCCGGCCUCGCUGUUGCCUCCCCAGCACCUGGACACCGGGGUCCUCGGCACAGACACGGCCUCUCCACUCACCACGGCGGUGCUGCCCCCCCAGCCCACUGCCCCGGGGGGCCCGGGCUUCCUCACCACCCCCCCGAGCUCCACCGCCACCCCCCUUCGCCUGCUGCCCCCUCCUGCAGGGGGCGACGAGGGGGGCCAUGUUGCCAUGACAACCUACAUCCCCGAGGGCGAUGAGGAAACCACGACAACGCUCAUCACUACGACGACCAUCACCACGGUGCACACGCCCGUCCUUUGCAAUAACAACAUCUCGGAGGUGGAGGGCUACGUGGAGUCCCCAGAUUCUGCGGGGGCUGCGUUCUACGGGGGGCUGGACUGUAGCUACAGCAUCCGGGUCUACAUGGGCUACGGGGUCGAGGUGCAGGUGCAGACGCUGAACCUGUCCAAGGACGACUCCCUCACCGUGGAGGGGCUGGGGGGUGAGACGCCGGCCAUCCUGGCCAACCAGUCCCUGAUGGUGGAGGGUCAGGUGAUCCGCAGCCCAACCAAUCAGGUGCUGAUCCACUUCCGGAGUGACCACGCCACCACCCCCAGCGUCUUCAAGUUCCACUACCAGGCCUUUCUGCUGAGCUGCGGCUUCCCCAGCCGGCCGGAGAACGGGGACGUGAGCGUCACCGACCUGCACCCGGGCGGCGCCGCCACCUUUAAGUGCGAGCUGGGCUUCCGCCUGUGGGGGGAGGAGACCCUGAUCUGCCUCAACGUCAGCCGCCCCCGCUGGAGCGGCGCCAGCCCCACCUGCGCGGCGGCCUGUGGGGGGGCCGUGCAGAACGCCUCCCACGGGCGCAUCGUGGCCCCCGAGGGGCUGGGCGGGCACGGCGCCAACCUGACCUGCCACUGGCUCCUGGAGGCGCCGGACGGGCAGCGGCUCCACCUGCACUUUGAGCGCCUGGCGCUGGACGAGGACAACGACCGGCUGGUGAUCCGCAGCGGCAGCAGCCGACUCUCCCCGCUGAUCUACGACUCGGACAUGGACGACGUGCCGGAGCGCGGCCUCCUGAGCGACGCCCAGAGCCUCUUCCUGGAGCUCGUGUCCGAGAGCCCCGGGGCCCCCCUCGUCCUGGGGCUGCGCUACGAGGCCUUCGACGAGGAUCGGUGCUACGAGCCGUUCCUGGCGCAUGGGAACUUCAGCACGUCGGACCCGCUGUACCGCGUGGGGGCGCAGGUGGAAUUCGCCUGCAGCGCCGGGUACAUGCUGGAGCAGGGCCCAGCCGCCAUCGAGUGCGUCGACCCCUCCGACCCGCAUUGGAACGAGAGCGAGCCCACCUGCAAAGCGCUGUGUGGGGGGGAGCUGUCAGACCCUGCCGGCGUGGUACUCUCCCCCGACUGGCCCCAGAGCUAUGGCAAAGGCCAGGACUGUGUCUGGAAUAUCCGGGUGCAGGAGGAGAAGCGGGUCCUGCUGGACGUUGAAAUCUUAAACAUCCGGAAGAGUGACGUGCUGACGGUGCUGGAUGGCGAGGACCUGACGGGCCGGGUGCUGGGGCAGUACAUGGGCGCCCACCCCCGCUUCCGCCUCUACACCUCAGCCAGCGCUGCCACCCUGCAGUUCCAGUCGGACCCCAGCGACCCCCUCUUUGGCCUCAGCCAGGGCUUCCUCAUCCGCUUCUCUGAGGUGCCCCGGAACGACACAUGCCCGGAGCUGCCAGAAGUGGAGUUUGGCUGGCGCACAGCCUCGCACGCGGCUGCCAUCCGGGGCACGGUGCUCACCUAUCAGUGCGAACCGGGCUAUGACAUCGUGGGCUCCGACAUCCUCACCUGCCAGUGGGACCUGGCCUGGAGCAACAGCCCCCCCACCUGCCAGAAGAUCGUGAACUGCGCUGACCCGGGGGAGAUCGCCAAUGGGAAGCGAAGUGUCUCGGACCGACGCUUCUCCAUCGGCUCCCACGUCCAGUACUUCUGCCAUGAGGGCUACGUGGUGGAGGGGAGCAGCACCCUGACCUGCUAUAACCGCGACACCGGAACCCCCAAAUGGAGCGACCGUGUCCCCAAGUGUGUCUUGAAGUACGAGCCGUGUCUGAACCCCGGCGUGCCCGAGAAUGGCUACCAGACGCUCUACAAGCAUCACUACCAGGCAGGCGAGUCGCUGCGUUUCUUCUGCUACGAGGGCUUCGAGCUCAUCGGGGAGGUGACCAUCACCUGCGUCCCGGGGCACCCGUCCCAGUGGACCAGCCAGCCGCCCCUCUGCAAAGUGGCGUAUGAGGAGUUACUGGACGACCGGAAGCUAGAAGUCACCCAGACGACAGACCCCUCCCACCAGAUAGAGGGGGGUAACAUCGCCCUGGCGAUCUUCCUGCCAAUCAUCUUGGUCAUUCUCCUGAUUGGUGGAAUUUACAUCUAUUACACCAAGUUCCAGGGCAAGUCCCUGUUUGGCUUCUCGUUCUCCAGCUCCCACAGCUACAGGCCCAUCACCGUGGAGUCCGACUUCAGCAACCCGCUCUACGAGGCUGGGGACACAAGGGAGUACGAAGUGUCCAUCUGACGGGGCCGUGUUCCUGGUCCGGAGUGAGGGGGCGUCUUGCGGAAGGGAAGAGACGACGGGGGGGUGUGAAGGGGGGGCUGCACGUGGAGGAGGGGCCAUGUCCUAUCUCUCUGCUCAUGCCAUCCUAGAAUGCCUUGCUCCCCCCCACCUCCCCUCCCACUUUGUACAUAUCCAGGUGUGGUGAGUUCAUGCGGAUUCCUGUGCUUUCAAAUCUCUCUCGUUGGCGUCCGGCGGAGCUUGAUUAUGGCGUCCAUCAAAGGGAUCGUUACUGUGGACGUCUUCAUUGAUUACUCAGAAAGCGUCUUCUCAGAAAGGCACACAACCCUCAAGGGCUGGGCGAAGCACGACAGUCGGUCCUCGGCGUUACAGAUACCUCGGGGAUGGCGGAUGUUCAGAACCCUAAACAAAACGUUCUGGUUCUUUCUGAAGUUUACAACUGAACAUUGACUAACGCAGCUUUGAAACUUCCUGUGCAGAAGGAAAAUGUGGCUUUCCCUUGAUUUUUUUUUUACUAGUUUACGCUUAACACAGCGCUGUUCUGUGCAGUGUUUGGUUUUGGUCUCAGCUGUGGCUUGAUUGUGUACUGCUGGUUCCAAACAGGGGUGUGGUUGACUGGUCAGUUUGUAACUCGGGGGUUUGUAACUCAGAGGUUCUACUGCAUCAUGGGAUCUUUCAAAUAGGAAGCCCCAAGACUAGGUGGAACGAGUGGUUAUGUGGCUGGAUUAUCUGAAUCUGGAUUAUCUAUUUGGGACAGAGGUCAUUUGAAAAAUAUAUUUAUCUUCUGACCCCCUGUAUUAACUAUUCUGAGCAUCGGGCUGUAGAAUCAGCACCACGGGGUUAGGAGGGUUGUCUAGUCUCACCCCCAGAACUCAAGACCAAAUGUGAAUCAUUUAUAACCCAGUGGAGACCAGCUUUAAGCCCGUAACUGAAGGCACUGAGGGCUGGCUGCGAUCCCUGCAGUACGGGGUGUGUGAUAUGCGUGACACUGCCAUGCUGCUUAACCGCACGCAAGCAAAAUCAAAUGAAUAAUUAAUAAUUGCUAAUACUUCAUUGCAACAGGUAAUAAAAAGGUAAAACAAUGAUUUCUGCUGCAU